GACGAACGCUGGCGGCGUGCUUAACACAUGCAAGUCGAACGGAAAGGCCCUGCUUGCAGGGUACUCGAGUGGCGAACGGGUGAGUAACACGUGGGUGAUCUGCCCUGCACUUCGGGAUAAGCCUGGGAAACUGGGUCUAAUACCGGAUAGGAGCCAUUUUUAGUGUGAUGGUUGGAAAGUUUUUUUCGGUGUAGGAUGAGCUCGCGGCCUAUCAGCUUGUUGGUGGGGUAAUGGCCUACCAAGGCGGCGACGGGUAGCCGGCCUGAGAGGGUGGACGGCCACAUUGGGACUGAGAGACGGCCCAGACUCCUACGGGAGGCAGCAGUGGGGAAUAUUGCACAAUGGGCGCAAGCCUGAUGCAGCGACGCCGCGUGGGGGAUGACGGCCUUCGGGUUGUAAACUCCUUUCGCUAGGGACGAAGCUUUUUGUGACGGUACCUAGAGAAGAAGCACCGGCUAACUACGUG
rnacentral:rRNA from 1 species